UACGUAGGCAGCGAGCGUUGUUCGGAAUUACUGGGCGUAAAGCGUGCGUAGACGGUUAUUUAAGUCAGGUGUGAAAGCCCCGGGCUCAACCUGGGAAUUGCAUUUGAGACUGAAUAGCUAGGGUGCGGAAGAGGGAAGCGGAAUUUCCGGUGUAGCGGUGAAAUGCGUAGAUAUCGGAAGGAACACCAGUGGCGAAAGCGGCUUCCUGGUCCAGCACCGACGUUCAGGCACGAAAGCGUGGGGAGCAAACAGG
rnacentral:rRNA from 1 species